UCGACUUUGUCUUAAUUUUUUUCCCCUAAACUUAAUUCUUUUUGCUUUGAUUCAUAAACUAUUUUUUGUUUUCAAUUUUUCUGUCUUCCUUCGACUCAAUUUUUCUAUCCUCCUUCGACCUCCACCAUUACCAACACUAUUACCCACCGUGACAACCACCGCGGCUACCACUACCACCAUUAACAAUUAAGUGAUGUUUUCUUAAGCUGAUAAAGCUUCAUUCUGUGCUAUUUUAAUAUUAUGAUUGAAGCGUGGAAGGAUAAGACUUUGCCACAGUCUCUAGCUGGCUCAACCUUUGAUAGCAGUCAACUUGUAUUAACAGCUUCUAUGGGUUAUUAGAAUAGGCAUCAGCCUGCGGUUAUAGAACAAUUGAGGAAAGAACAAAAGGGCGCCAAGCUUGGAGAUUUUCACACCGUCUAGCAUCAAGGCUGUAUAACUUUAAGUAUGAUCCCAAGUCAAUGCUGAUAGAGGCAAAUAAGCAAAAAAAGUGGUGAUUUAUCUUGUUCAGGGUCUGGAUCCACUAAUGCAGAUGAAGUUCUUAUAAGCUUGACAGGGGCCAUGAAGAUAGAUUCUUUUCUAGAUCUUCAAGAUCAGGUUGCUUAACAUUUUUUUUACCUCUUCCAAGCAUACUUAUAUAGUUGUUUGUGACACCCAAGGUUGCCAAUAUUCACUGCUACUUUAUCAUAUGUUAAUGUCCUGCAUAUGAUCUAUUGUAAAAGAAGUUGAACGUUUGCAGAUUCAGCAAUAGAUAUAUAUAUUGAAUGUAUUCAAGAA